rnacentral:rRNA from 1 species
GACGAACGCUGGCGGCGUGCAUAACACAUGCAAGUCGAACGGAAAGGCCCUGCUUUUGUGGGGUGCUCGAGUGGCGAACGGGUGAGUAACACGUGAGUAACCUGCCCUUGACUUUGGGAUAACUUCAGGAAACUGGGGCUAAUACCGGAUAGGAGCUCCUGCUGCAUGGUGGGGGUUGGAAAGUUUCGGCGGUUGGGGAUGGACUCGCGGCUUAUCAGCUUGUUGGUGGGGUAGUGGCUUACCAAGGCUUUGACGGGUAGCCGGCCUGAGAGGGUGACCGGCCACAUUGGGACUGAGAUACGGCCCAGACUCCUACGGGAGGCAGCAGUGGGGAAUAUUGCACAAUGGGCGGAAGCCUGAUGCAGCAACGCCGCGUGCGGGAUGACGGCCUUCGGGUUGUAAACCGCUUUCGCCUGUGACGAAGCGUGAGUGACGGUAAUGGGUAAAGAAGCACCGGCUAACUACGUGCCAGCAGCCGCGGUGAUACGUAGGGUGCGAGCGUUGUCCGGAUUUAUUGGGCGUAAAGGGCUCGUAGGUGGUUGAUCGCGUCGGAAGUGUAAUCUUGGGGCUUAACCCUGAGCGUGCUUUCGAUACGGGUUGACUUGAGGAAGGUAGGGGAGAAUGGAAUUCCUGGUGGAGCGGUGGAAUGCGCAGAUAUCAGGAGGAACACCAGUGGCGAAGGCGGUUCUCUGGGCCUUUCCUGACGCUGAGGAGCGAAAGCGUGGGGAGCGAACAGGCUUAGAUACCCUGGUAGUCCACGCUGUAAACGGUGGGUACUAGGUGUGGGGUCCAUUCCACGGGUUCCGUGCCGUAGCUAACGCUUUAAGUACCCCGCCUGGGGAGUACGGCCGCAAGGCUAAAACUCAAAGGAAUUGACGGGGCCCCGCACAAGCGGCGGAGCAUGCGGAUUAAUUCGAUGCAACGCGUAGAACCUUACCUGGGUUUGACAUGGAUCGGGAGUGCUCAGAGAUGGGUGUGCCUCUUUUGGGGUCGGUUCACAGGUGGUGCAUGCCUGUCGUCAGCUCGUGUCGUGAGAUGUUGGGUUAAGUCCCGCAACGAGCGCAACCCUUGUUCACUGUUGCCAGCACGUUAUGGUGGGGACUCAGUGGAGACCGCCGGGGUCAACUCGGAGGAAGGUGGGGAUGACGUCAAGUCAUCAUGCCCCUUAUGUCCAGGGCUUCACGCAUGCUACAAUGGCUGGUACAGAGAGUGGCGAGCCUGUGAGGGUGAGCGAAUCUCGGAAAGCCGGUCUCAGUUCGGAUUGGGGUCUGCAACUCGACCUCAUGAAGUCUGAGUCGCUAGUAAUCGCAGAUCAGCAACGCUGCGGUGAAUACGUUCCCGGG